GCAACUCUUCCACUAGACAGUGUUUCAGAUUUUGUUGAAGAAGGCUCCAAAUGUCGCAAACCAUGGCAGCAAAAAUCCCACACAUGUGCAUGUUCAACAAAAUGCUCAUAGUCCACACAACUUUUUGAUGAAUUUAGCCCACGUACACAAAACCUCAGGAUUUAAAAGACUGUCUGAGAAAUACAGAUGUACUGGAGGAAGUGUGCUGUUUCCUGGGAGUAAUUCUCCCAUUCUUGGAUCAUUGUUUCCUUAUUGAUUUAGAUAGCUCUGCUAAUAAUAAGGCAAGUAGAUUAUUAU